rnacentral:rRNA from 1 species
UACAGAGGGUGCGAGCGUUGUCCGGAAUCACUGGGCGUAAAGGGCGCGUAGGCGGCUCGGUAAGCGUGCGGUGAAAGCCCGGGGCUCAACCCCGGGUCGGCCGUGCGAACUGCAGAGCUGGAGCACUGUAGAGGCAGGUGGAAUUCCGGGUGUAGCGGUGGAAUGCGUAGAGAUCCGGAAGAACACCGGUGGCGAAGGCGGUUAGCUGGGCAGUUGCUG